rnacentral:rRNA from 1 species
GGGGGCUGUCGGUGAAAGCUGGGGACCAGCAAUGGCCUAGCGCGAGGGAGCUGCGUCUGAUUAGCUAGUUGGUGGGGUAAUGGCCUACCAAGCAUUCAGUAGCCGGCCUGAGAGGGUGAUCGGCCACACUGGAACUGAACAUCCAGACUCCUACGGGAGGCAGCAGUGGGGAAUUUUGCGCAAUGACAGUCUGACGCAGCAACGCCGCGUGGGUGAUGAAGGUCUUCGGAUGUACCCUGUCGUCGGGGACGAAGGUAGGCUCGUUAAUAGCGAGUUGCUCGGUACCCGGAAAGGAAGCCCCGGCUAACUCUGUGCCAGCAGCGCGAUACAGAGGGGGCAAGCGUUAUUCGGAAUUAUUGGGCGUAAAGGCG